CCCUGGCCUGCGAUUUACAGAGAUUUGCCUCUGGAGUACUGGGGUGAUUUAGGACUGAGACUACAGCUCAGGAAGAGGGCUUACCUAGUGUGUGUGGGACCUUAAGUUCAAUUCAUGGCACUGGAAAAAAGCCAAAUUUUAAAAAGUAGAUUGAAGUAUAAUUCAUUUAAUAUAAACUGCAUACAUAAAAUAUAAUUUGAUAGAUAGAUUUUAGGUACGACCAUCUCUGUAAUCAAGAAAGUAGGUUGAUUAAAAAGGUUCUGUGUGUCCCUUUAUAGGCAAUGCCUUUCCGAAAAUCUCACCACCAGAUGCCCUUGAAUUUUCUAGUUUUGUAGAAUUAUGCUGUAUGAGUUAAUUUCUUAAACUUCCCUCUUCAAUGAGCUGUCUCCACGGUGUUUACAUCAAUCAGUUCAUUAGCAAUUUUGUUGGGGUAAACUGUGGCGGUCCUGUCCUGAGACUAGACUACUACUCCUUACGAUGGAAAUCUCUUUGGUCAUCAUCAUCUUGCAAGAAUUCUGUAUUUUACUGAGUUUUUUAAGUAAAAGAAGCAAAUAUGCAUCAGCUCAACAAUAAUGACCUUCGGCCAGUGUUGGGAUCUAAAAUGUCCCUGGAAGGUUAGCGUGCGGAAGACUUGAUUCCCCAGACCCUACUACAACAGCUGCAAGGCACUGGAAGCUUUAAGAGGUGGGUCCUGGAGAAAGGAAGUGACCUCAUGUGUGCGCGUGCCUUCCGUGCCUUCCUCGCUCUGCCCGCCCUGGGAACCGUUUUCCUCUCCCCAGAGGGGUUGGUGCUCAGCCUGGCCCGCUCCCAGAGCAAGCGGCUCACAGUGGUGAACUGGACCGGUGAAUCAGAAUAGACCAUUUCUUUUUUGUAAAUUCAUUACCUCAGGUCGGCUUCCUCCCUUGCUCCAGUACACACAUCGUUUUUUCUUAGAGGAAGAGGCUUUCAGCUCUCCUGCCUUCUCCUUUCCUAUGACUGAAGUGACCUCCGGGCUUGUGAAAGAAAUUGCCCCUGGUGUGGGCAUGCCAGUGUCUGGCUGCGUCUCCAGUUCCUUGGGGCUAAUCUCAUCCUCAUAAACUAUUUUCUCCGGAACUCAUCCGCAAGCCAGGAGUUGAAGGAGACCCUCUGAGCAGUCUUGGAGUUUAUUCUAGAUCUUCUUCGUUGUUGAGCCCUGGGGAGAAAGCCGAUGGGGGGGGCUGUCUGUGCCUCUGCCAGUUGUCACUCAGGGGCCAUUCCCUGUGCACUCUGCGGGGAAGGGGAAGACAUCAGGUCUGUGAGCUGCAGGCCCGAUACUGAGGUGGGAAGUCCAUGGCCAACCCUUUCUGUCUUGAUGAUUUGUGAAGCAGUGCCGCCCUCCUGCCUUGACCACCCCCAGCUGGGAUCUGAGGGGAGCUCUGCUCCUGGAGGCGGCUUGGGAGCUUGCCCUUUUUUGGUUCAACCCUGAUCAAGGCUCUGCCUGGAGUUUCCACUGCUGUUGCUCCUUAAAUGAACUCAAUGGGCGUUGGGCUUGGGAAGGGGAAAUGUCAGCAUUCCAAGUCCCAACUUGAGGGAAGACGGUUGCCCUGGCACAGGGACCCUGCGACCACAGUUCGUACGUUGAACUCCUAACCCCCAAAUUCUAGAAUGUGUGAAGAGAUGAAUCUUUUAAGAGUAACUCAAAAUGAGGCUGUAAGGGUGGGUCCUAAUCCAAUUUUAGUGUUAUCACAAGGUGACUAGGCCCCACAGAGGGUUCCCAGGGGCACACGGGCCUAGUGGGGAAACGCAGAGAGGGCCUUCUGUAGGCCCAAGAGGCGGGGUCAUAUGGGACCUUCCCAGAGCUGACUAGGGUUUUGCCUUUACGGAUGCAACCGCCCACAAACUCCAUGGGUCCAGUGUCUUAAGAGUGGUGCUGCUGUAAAGGCCAGUUGGGUCAGGCCUUUUACGUGGAAGGCCCUACUCUGCCUAGGGACUCUGCUAGCAAGGCCAUUGCCAAAUGCCUUGACCUUGUACCAACUACACAAGCUGUGGUAUUGUGUUAUUAGCAACGGAAAAUGCGCUCAGACAAGUGUUCAUAUUCGAGGAUCGUACCUGGCUACCAAGGACUCAGAAAAUGACUUUUUCAUGCUUUCUCUGCAAAAUAAAAGACUGGAAAAGCGA